GAGAAAAUAAAGCAAGUCAGCUGGGAGAGCAGCCUGUGCAAGUGGCAGCUGCCUGGAACCAGGCUCCUUUUCCUCCAGGUUGGCAGCCCCAGCAUCCUUCAGCACCUUGCCAAUAACAAACCGAGAGCGGGAGAGGUGCUGUGAGGCCUCCGCCUGCCUCCAUUACAAGGGACCUGAAAGGAUGGCCAGAAGAGGUGGGGGCCUUUCCUAAGCCCAUAAUCACCGAGCAAGCAUCAGAAUCACCUGGGAGCCUCCUGUGACACAGAUUAGGGAGCCUGUCUCCCUGAAGUACCUGAUCAGUAGGUGGUCUGGGGUGGGGCCCAAGAAUUUGCAUGUUUGCUUUGAUGAUGCUUUGAGACCCACUUUGAUGAAGCUUUGAGACCCACUUUGCUGAUGAAAUCAAUGGUCUCUGAAAGACCAGAGGCUGCUGUUUGGUUUCCGCUUGCACUUCCUGCCAGCUGUCAGCCUAGGAAAAACGCCAGCUUCCGUUUUGGUAGAAGCAAGAAGGGAAUGAGCCAAGGGUCCUUCCUGCUUUGCUUCCACCUUCUAUUGUACAGAGAAAACUUGGGGCAGGUCCACUUCUUUUCCAUGAAGGUCCCCAAUUGGGCAGUGCCCUGAAAUCACUUCUAACGCUGAUGCUAGGCACCACCUCAGACCUACUGCUCAGACCCUCCAGGGGCAGGGCCCAGGAUUGAAGAGGGAAGCCCUGCUCCACACGUGUUCAUCAGGAAGGACCCACAGACUGCUGCUCCUGGAGGCCUCUCAGGGUUUAUGGAUGUGUGUUUGUUCCAUAAACCCUCAGAGGGUCACCUGGAGACCUGCUAAAAUGCAGGUUCUUGGGCCACAUUCUAGACCUUCUGACUGACCCAGGGAGUGGGCCCCAGGAAGCUGCAUUUGACAGAUAUCCCGGUGUGAUCAUCAUGCACACAGGAGUGAGAGAACCAGCGUUCUCCCCGGGCAGAAGGGAAGCUCGUGUGCAGGACACCUCACACCUCCUUUCCCAUUCCCCUGCCAGGCUCUCCCUGCUGACAUUGUUUCGCGGGAGAGCUGUGAAUUCUGAAGAUUAGGUUGCUUCUCACCCCAAGCUCCAGAAGUCCAGGCUGAGCCAAACCAAGCUUCAAGUUGUGCCUGGACUUGGAGAACCAGGAGGUGAGGGGACUAACUACUUGAAGAUCACAUGGAGGAGGAGUCUGAUCCAGGCCCAGGCACUGAGGAAAGGCCAUGCAAGGGCAUAGGGAGAAGGGCAGCUGUCUGUAAGCCAGAAAGAGCCUUCACUAGAAACCAAAUCAGCCAGAACCUUCAUCUUGGACUUUCCAGCCUUCAGAGAUGUGAAAAAAUAAAUUUCUGUUGAUUAACCUA